GUGGCAAUCUGGAUCACUGAUUUUGAAUUACCCAGAACAAAGACUGAUUAUGAGAACAGUCUGACCCUGAAGAUGUUUCUUUUCUAAUUUGUCAACUACUAUUCCUCUUGUUUCUAUAUGGCCUUUUUCAAAGGCAAGAUUGUGGGUUAUCCUGGGGAUCCAGUGUAUUGGCUUGGAAAAUACCGGAAUGAAGAGUGUGAUCCAGGCGGCUGCCUCAUUGAGCUAACAACUCAGCUGACAAUUAUAAUGGGUGGCAAAGCAGUCUGGAAUAACAUCCAGGA